rnacentral:tRNA from 1 species
GUGAGAGUAGCUGAGAGGUUUAGCACUAGUUUGUGGUACUAUACUACGUGGGUUCGAGUCCCACCUUUUGCC